rnacentral:rRNA from 1 species
UACGUAGGGUGCGAGCGUUGUCCGGAAUUAUUGGGCGUAAAGGGCUCGUAGGCGGUCUGUUGCGUCGGGAGUGAAAACUCAGGGCUUAACCCUGAGCCUGCUUCCGAUACGGGCAGACUAGAGGUAGGCAGGGGAGAGCGGAACUCCUGGUGUAGCGGUGGAAUGCGCAGAUAUCAGGAAGAACACCGGUGGCGAAGGCGGCUCUCUGGGCCUUACCUGACGCUGAGGAGCGAAAGCGUGGGUAGCGAACAGG